rnacentral:lncRNA from 1 species
GUGUGCUGUAUAUCUGUAGAAUUUUUUAUAUGAACGCUGAAAUGCUGGUUAGUGCUGAGCUCCAGCCGUGAGCCACUCAGCGCCGAGCCUAGCUAGGACUAGGGAGUCAAACAGCGGAUAUGGAUGGACAGCGACACACAUUGCCUUCGUCAUCUGUAUUACACGGGCUUCUACAUUAUGAACGACAUCUGUCUUCAUAAAAACAAGAUUAAAUAAGAUUUACAAGAUAAUUGAGAGAAAGAGAGAAAGAGAAAGAGAGAAGGAAAAAGAUCUUGAUACAGCGCGAGACGCGACGCGAGGCGCUCUUUGCAUGACUGACUGCGACCUGCCGCCUUCGUAAAAUUAGAAAACGUAUUUCGCGGUGAAAAGGCCAUGCAAGUUAACCAAGAGAUGGCGCAUCACACACACACAUAUAAUGCACGCGAAAAAGCCGACAACAGAAAGGACAGAGGGGUCUUUUCAUAGCAAUCACUAAGCCAGCAGCAGCCCAACCUUUCCUCCACAACCACCAACCAUCCACCCCGUGUGACCGCAUUCCGGGGAAGAAGAUUUUCAUAUCAUCAUCAUCAUCAUCAUCAUCAUCAUCGUCUUCUAUGGGGCAUAUAAGCAGAACGUCCACGUCACUCGUCGUGAACAAGUGAGAGCCAAAGCAUGCGGGUGAUGAAGCCACUAACCAACCAAAACCACCCAACCACCAACCGGCAGGCUUCCCUGUUCGGUGCUCUCCUCCUCCUUUUACAUAUACGACAUAUGCCGAAGCUAAAGUGAGAGAGUACGUCCAAUAUUAAGCUGCGGAGAUCCCCCGAGCGACACUUCAUCAAUGUCAGCUGCGGGCGUUAAGACUCUCCUCGAAGCACAAUGCGUCACAAAGAGAAACUUAAGGCCCAAACUUAAGGCAGCAAUUCGUUUCCCAGGCACCCGUUAGGCACUUCAUUCCGGCCCACCAGGUUCUUUUCAAAGGCGAGAGAAGAUGUUGGGCUGUGCGAGUGGGCAACGGCCAACAGACAACGGACGAGAGCGUGGUGUCACCGUCACCGUUAAGCGUAACCGCAACCUAACAACCUCCAGCCACUAAUUACGAACCGUUUCCACAGCGAGAGAAGUCGAGAGGUGCGAUCCUGCCGUUUCUCGGCGGGCGAUUACGUGUGCCGUACACAUCUAUGAAGACACAGAAGACCAUACCCGCCAUACCAUACCAUACACAGCAGUCACACAGCGCCACGGCAAGUAUGGAGACACAUACAUACGUACAUACACACAUAAAGACAGACGCAACACAUGCACUGACGCGAGGUGGUUAACACUAACUAACACUUAACCAACCCAGAGGAUGACGCGUUGCCUGUUUGUCUUGCAUUGCACAUUCAAGUAUGUUAGCAUGUGUGCCAGUAUGUAUGCGCGUGUGCCAUACAUACGUACGUUCAUACAUAUAACAUUCAACAUUCAAAACGCUGUUACUCGGGCCAAAUGAGCGCGACACGCGUAACACCCAAACGAACCAAACCAACUGGCCAGAAGAAAGAACACCACAACAUGAAAACAACGCGCCCAACCACACAUACAGUAAACACACGCGCGCACACACACACACAUAGUUUCCCCUCCUCUCCUCCCAUCCUUACCCCUCCCAUCCAUAUCCCCUCCCCCUACCAUUCCCUGC